GAUGAACGCUAGCUACAGGCUUAACACAUGCAAGUCGCGGGACCGGCGCACGGGUGAGUAACGCGUAUCCAACCUGCCCUUCACCACGGGAUAAACCGGCGAAAGUCGCACUAAUACCGUAUGGGUAAGGAUGAGGAUGCGUCCGAUUAGCUUGACGGCGGGGUAACGGCCCACCGUGGCUACGCUCGGUAGGGGUUCUGAGAGGAAGGGCCCCCACACUGGAACUGAGACACUGGCCAGACUCCGACGGGAGGAAGCAGUGAGGAAUAUUGGGCAAUGGGCGGAAGCCUGAACCAGCCAAGUAGCGUGCAGGACGACGGCCUAUGGGUUGUAAACUGCUUUUAUGCGGGGAUAGGUACCGCAUGAAUAAGGACCGGCUAAUUCCGGGCCAGCAGCCGCGGUAAUAC
rnacentral:rRNA from 1 species